rnacentral:rRNA from 1 species
GACAGAGGGUGCAAACGUUGUUCGGAAUUACUGGGCGUAAAGCGCGUGUAGGCGGCUAAGUAAGUCGGGCGUGAAAUCCCACGGCUCAACCGUGGAAGUGCACUCGAAACUGCAUAGCUAGAGUCCUGGAGAGGAAGGUGGAAUGCUUGGUGUAGAGGUGAAAUUCGUAGAUAUCAAGCGGAACACCGGUGGCGAAGGCGGCCUUCUGGACAGUGACUGACGCUGAGACGCGAAAGCGGUGGGGAGCAAACAGG